rnacentral:rRNA from 1 species
AUGCAAGUCGAGCGGCAGCACGGGAAGCUUGCUUCCUGGUGGCGAGCGGCGGACGGGUGAGUAAUGCAUAGAAAUCUGCCCGGUAGUGGGGGAUAACCUGGGGAAACCCAGGCUAAUACCGCAUACGUCCUACGGGAGAAAGCAGGGGAUCUUCGGACCUUGCGCUAUCGGAUGAGUCUAUGUCGGAUUAGCUUGUUGGUGAGGUAAUGGCUCACCAAGGCGACGAUCCGUAGCUGGUCUGAGAGGAUGAUCAGCCACAUCGGGACUGAGACACGGCCCGAACUCCUACGGGAGGCAGCAGUGGGGAAUAUUGGACAAUGGGCGAAAGCCUGAUCCAGCCAUGCCGCGUGUGUGAAGAAGGCCUUCGGGUUGUAAAGCACUUUCAGUGGGGAAGAAAGCCUUGGGGCUAAUACCCUCGAGGAAGGACAUCACCCACAGAAGAAGCACCGGCUAACUCCGUGCCAGCAGCCGCGGUAAUACGGAGGGUGCGAGCGUUAAUCGGAAUUACUGGGCGUAAAGCGCGCGUAGGCGGUCUGAUAAGCCGGUUGUGAAAGCCCCGGGCUCAACCUGGGAACGGCAUCCGGAACUGUCAGGCUAGAGUGCAGGAGAGGAAGGUAGAAUUCCCGGUGUAGCGGUGAAAUGCGUAGAGAUCGGGAGGAAUACCAGUGGCGAAGGCGGCCUUCUGGACUGACACUGACGCUGAGGUGCGAAAGCGUGGGUAGCAAACAGGAUUAGAUACCCUGGUAGUCCACGCCGUAAACGAUGUCGACUAGCCGUUGGGGUCCUUGAGACCUUUGUGGCGCAGUUAACGCGAUAAGUCGACCGCCUGGGGAGUACGGGCCGCAAGGUUAAAACUCAAAUGAAUUGACGGGGGCCCGCACAAGCGGUGGAGCAUGUGGUUUAAUUCGAUGCAACGCGAAGAACCUUACCUACCCUUGAC